rnacentral:rRNA from 1 species
AUUGAACGCUGGCGGCAGGCUUAACACAUGCAAGUCGAGCGGAGAUGAGGUGCUUGCACCUUAUCUUAGCGGCGGACGGGUGAGUAAUGCUUAGGAAUCUGCCAUUUAGUGGGGGACAACAUUCCGAAAGGAAUGCUAAUACCGCAUACGUCCUACGGGAGAAAGCAGGGGAUCUUCGGACCUUGCGCUAAAUGAUGAGCCUAAGUCGGAUUAGCUAGUUGGUGGGGUAAAGGCCUACCAAGGCGACGAUCUGUAGCGGGUCUGAGAGGAUGAGCCGCCACACUGGGACGGAGACACGGCCCAGACUCCUACGGGAGGCAGCAGUGGGGAAUAUUGGACAAUGGGCGGAAGCCUGAUCCAGCCAUGCCGCGUGUGUGAAGAAGGCCUUUUGGUUGUAAAGCACUUUAAGCGAGGAGGAGGCUACUAGUACUAAUACUACUGGAUAGUGGACGUUACUCGCAGAAUAAGCACCGGCUAACUCUGUGCCAGCCGCCGCAGUAAGAC